rnacentral:tRNA from 1 species
GGACCCCUGGUUUAGUUGGUUAUAACGUCGCCUUCACACGGCGGAGGUCGCCGGUUCGAAUCCGGCGGGGUCCA